rnacentral:tRNA from 1 species
GCCUGGGUGGUUCAGUGGUGGAAGUCUUGUCUUUCACCUGGGAGACCUGGGUUCAAUUCCCAGCCAAUGUG